CUGACUUAAGCAUAUCAAUAAGCGGAGGAAAGAAACCCUCAGGGAUKSCCUAGUAACGGCGAGUGAAGCGGCAACAGCUCAAAUUUGAAAUCUGGCCUCUUUGGGGGUCCGAGUUGUAAUUUGCAGAGGGUGCUUUGGCGUUGGCUGUGGUCUAAGUUCCUUGGAACAGGACGUCGCAGAGGGUGAGAAUCCCGUAUGUGGCCGCCAGUCUUCGCCGUGUAAAGCCCCUUCGACGAGUCGAGUUGUUUGGGAAUGCAGCUCUAAAUGGGAGGUAAAUUUCUUCUAAAGCUAAAUAUUGGCCAGAGACCGAUAGCGCACAAGUAGAGUGAUCGAAAGAUGAAAAGCACUUUGGAAAGAGAGUCAAAAAGCACGUGAAAUUGUUGAAAGGGAAGCGCUUGCAGCCAGACUUGCUUGCAGUUGUUCAGCCGGGCUCUUGCCCGGUCUACUCUUCUGCUCGCAGGCCAGCAUCAGUCCGGGCGGUUGGAUAAAGGCCUAUUAAACGUACCUCCCCUCGGGGAGGACUUAUAGGGUAGGCGACAUGCAACCAGCCCGGAUUGAGGUCCGCGCAUCUGCUAGGAUGCUGGCGUAAUGGCUGUAAGCGGCCCGUCUUGAAACACGGACCAAGGAGUCUAACAUCUAUGCGAGUGUUUGGGUGUCAAGCCCGAGCGCGUAAUGAAAGUGAACGGAGGUGGGAACCUUUCGGGGUGCACCAUCGACCGAUCCUGAUGUCUUCGGAUGGAUUUGAGUAAGAGCAUAGCUGUUGGGACCCGAAAGAUGGUGAACUAUGCCUGAAUAGGGUGAAGCCAGAGGAAACUCUGGUGGAGGCUCGCAGCGGUUCUGACGUGCAAAUCGAUCGUCAAAUUUGGGCAUAGGGGCGAAAGACUAAUCGAACUAUCUAGUAGCUGGUUUCCUGCCGA
rnacentral:rRNA from 1 species